GUGAAUCAUCAAAUUUUUGAACGCAAAUUGCACUCUCUUCGGAGAGUAUGCCUGUUUGAGGGUCAGUCUAAAAAAAAUCGACGUAGUCGCUAUGUCGCGUUGACAUUCGUCGGUAAGUGGUUGAGCGUCAACCUUUGUGUUUUUUGAGCGGCGUAAAAUUUUCUUUACGUUUCUACUAACGCUUCUAAGAUUUUACUUCUGACAUACGUUUAAGGUAUCGAUCUUUAUUAGAUUGGUCCGUUGCAUCGUGUCGAGU
rnacentral:misc_RNA from 1 species